rnacentral:rRNA from 1 species
UACGUAGGGUGCAAGCGUUGUCCGGAAUUAUUGGGCGUAAAGAGCUCGUAGGCGGUUUGUCGCGUCGGCUGUGAAAACCUGGGGCUUAACUCCGGGCCUGCAGCCGAUACGGGCAGACUAGAGUGAUGUAGGGGAGACUGGAAUUCCUGGUGUAGCGGUGAAAUGCGCAGAUAUCAGGAGGAACACCGAUGGCGAAGGCAGGUCUCUGGGCAUUAACUGACGCUGAGGAGCGAAAGCAUGGGGAGCGAACAGG